UACGAAGGGGCUAGCGUUGUUCGGAAUCACUGGGCGUAAAGCGCACGUAGGCGGAUCGUUAAGUCGGGGUGAAAUCCCAGGGCUCAACCCUGGAACUGCCUUCGAUACUGGCGAUCUUCGAGUCCGGGAGAGGUGAGUGGAACUCCGAGUGUAGAGGUGAAAUUCGUAGAUAUUCGGAAGAACACCAGUGGCGGAAGGCGGCUCACUGGCCCGGUACUGACGCUGAGGUGCGAAAGCGUGGGGAGCAACAGG
rnacentral:rRNA from 1 species